rnacentral:rRNA from 1 species
UACGAAGGGGGCUAGCGUUGCUCGGAAUCACUGGGCGUAAAGGGUGCGUAGGCGGGUUUUUAAGUCAGGGGUGAAAUCCUGGAGCUCAACUCCAGAACUGCCUUUGAUACUGAAGAUCUUGAGGGCGGGAGAGGUGAGUGGAACUGCGAGUGUAGAGGUGAAAUUCGUAGAUAUUCGCAAGAACACCAGUGGCGAAGGCGGCUCACUGGCCCGAUACUGACGCUGAGGCACGAAAGCGUGGGGAGCAAACAGG